GAUGAACGCUGGCGGCGUGCCUAAUACAUGCAAGUCGAGCGAACGGACGAGAAGCUUGCUUCUCUGAUGUUAGCGGCGGACGGGUGAGUAACACGUGGAUAACCUACCUAUAAGACUGGGAUAACUUCGGGGAAACCGGAGCUAAUACCGGAUAAUAUUUUGAACCGCAUGGUUCAAAAGUGAAAGACGGUCUUGCUGUCACUUAUAGAUGGAUCCGCGCUGCAUUAGCUAGUUGGUAAGGUAACGGCUUACCAAGGCAACGAUGCAUAGCCGACCUGAGAGGGUGAUCGGCCACACUGGAACUGAGACACGGUCCAGACUCCUACGGGAGGCAGCAGUAGGGAAUCUUCCGCAAUGGGCGAAAGCCUGACGGAGCAACGCCGCGUGAGUGAUGAAGGUCUUCGGAUCGUAAAACUCUGUUAUUAGGGAAGAACAUAUGUGUAAGUAACUGUGCACAUCUUGACGGUACCUAAUCAGAAAGCCACGGCUAACUACGUG
rnacentral:rRNA from 1 species